UCAGGAUGAACGCUAGCGGCAGGCUAACACAUGCAAGUCGAGGGGCAUCGGGAGUAGCAAUACUGCCGGCGACCGGCGCAAGGGUGCGUAACGCGUGAGCAACAUGCCCGUAUCAGGGGGAUAAUCCAUGGAAACGUGGUCUAAUACCCCAUAGUAAUUAUGUAAGGCAUCUUAUAUAAUUUAAAGCUUUGGUGGAUACGGAUUGGCUCGCGUGACAUUAGCUGGAUGGUAAGGUAACGGCUUACCAUGGCUACGAUGUCUAGGGGUUCUGAGAGGAAGGUCCCCCACACUGGAACUGAGACACGGUCCAGACUCCUACGGGAGGCAGCAGUGAGGAAUAUUGGACAAUGGAUGGAAAUCUGGAUCCAGCCAUGCCGCGUGCAGGAAGACGGCCCUAUGGGUUGUAAACUGCUUUUGUAUGGGAGCAAUAAGGGCUACGUGUAGUCCGAUGAGAGUACCAUACGAAUAAGCACCGGCUAACUCCGUGCCAGCCGCUGC
rnacentral:rRNA from 1 species